rnacentral:rRNA from 1 species
UACGUAGGGGGCAAGCGUUGUCCGGAUUCAUUGGGCGUAAAGAGCGUGUAGGCGGCCAGGUAGGUCGGUUGUGAAAACUGGAGGCUCAACCUUCAGAGGUCGACCGAAACCAUCUGGCUAGAGUCCGGGAGAGGAGAGUGGAAUUCCUGGUGUAGCGGUGAAAUGCGUAGAGAUCGGGAGGAACAUCAGUGGCGAAGGCGGCCCUCUGGACCAGCACUGACGCUGAGGCACGAAAGCGUGGGGGAGCAAACAGG